CCGACCUUAGCUCAGUUGGUAGAGCGGAGGACUGUAGUCUGCGCAGAUCAAUCCUUAGGUCGCUGGUUCGAAUCCGGCAGGUCGGA
rnacentral:tRNA from 1 species